rnacentral:rRNA from 1 species
AGUUUGAUCCUGGCUCAGGAUGAACGCUAGCGGCAGGCCUAAUACAUGCAAGUCGAACGGUGAUAUUUAUAUCAUAGUGGCGCACGGGUGCGUAACACGUAUGCAACCUACCUAUUAUUGGGGGAUAGCCUUUGGAAACGGAGAUUAAUACCGCAUAAUACGAUUAACUGGCAUCGGUUGAUUGUUAAAACAUUUGCGAUAAUAGAUGGGCAUGCGUCCAAUUAGUUAGUUGGUGUGGUAAUGGCUCACCAAGACGAUGAUUGGUAGGGGAUCUGAGAGGAUAAUCCCCCACACUGGCACUGAGAUACGGGCCAGACUCCUACGGGAGGCAGCAGUAGGGAAUAUUGGGCAAUGGGCGGAAGCCUGACCCAGCCAUGCCGCGUGCAGGAAGACGGCGUUAUGCGUUGUAAACUGCUUUUUUAUAGGAAGAAGGAUCCCUUGCGAGGGAAGGUGACGGUACUAUAAGAAUAAGCACCGGCUAACUCCGUGCCAGCGGCCGCGGUAAUACGGAGGGUGCAAGCGUUGUCCGGAUUUAUUGGGUUUAAAGGGUGCGUAGGCGGUUUAUUAAGUCAGUGGUGAAAGACGGUCGCUCAACGAUUGCAGUGCCAUUGAUACUGGUAG